AGAACUUAGCAGAGAUUGCUUUUGGUGCCUUUCGGGGAACUCUGAGACAGGUGCUGCAUGGCUGUCGUCAGCUCGUGUUGUGAAAUGUUGGGUUAAGUCCCGCAACGAGCGCAACCCUUAUCCUUUGUUGCCAGCGGUCCGGCCGGGAACUCAAAGGAGACUGCCAGUGAUAAACUGGAGGAAGGUGGGGAUGACGUCAAGUCAUCAUGGCCCUUACGAGUAGGGCUACACACGUGCUACAAUGGCGCAUACAAAGAGAAGCGACCUCGCGAGAGCAAGCGGACCUCAUAAAGUGCGUCGUAGUCCGGAUUGGAGUCUGCAACUCGACUCCAUGAAGUCGGAAUCGCUAGUAAUCGUAGAUCAGAAUGCUACGGUGAAUACGUUCCCGGGCCUUGUACACACCGCCCGUCACACCAUGGGAGUGGGUUGCAAAAGAAGUAGGUAGCUUAACCUUCGGGAGGGCGCUUACCACUUUGUGAUUCAUGACUGGGGUGAAGUCGUAACAAGGUAGGCGUAGCGAG
rnacentral:rRNA from 1 species